UCAUUUUGGAAAAAGUAGCGCGUCCAGGCGCGAUGCUCGCUGAAUGAGGGAGUGGAGGCGCGCUGAGGCUCCCCCACUCAGCAGAGGUGCAUCAGGAGGGGGCGGAGCCAUAGUACACUGGACCGCGCCUGACGCACACAGGUCCAAGUAGAAGCAUGGAUUCAAUUCACGUCCUUCAAAGUAAAACACCAUAUACUUUGAAGUAUUAAGUCCACAGCCUGGAUUUAACCUCCCAACUGUAUUACCAGUCGAAACCUUGGAGACACCCUCAAAUUCAAAUGGUCUCAAACACAUUAAGAGAUCAAUCUUAAUAAUGUACAGGUCAUAAAACAUCAUCUACAUCAUAAAGCUGCCUGAGAAAACACUAAGAUGUGCAAACCUGAUAUCUAGGCAAAAGGGCCAUACUUUGAAGAUUCAAUUAUAAAACGUUUAGUUGUACAUCAGUAUUUAUUCAUAUUGUCAAUGACCUAGGUACAAAUGUACAAUUCAGUACAUUUUUAAAUAAUAAAAAAAACACUGGAUUAGUUUAAUAAUUUAGUUAGGUCAUACUGUACAUAUUAGUGCUGAACACUUUUCUAAUCUAAUUGUGACCUUUUUUCUACAGAAUUGUGAUUUAAAUACAGUAAGGAAGUAUUUGUACCAAAAGAUGUUCAAAGAUACUUCAAAACAAUAAAAUACUAGCUUAGGAAUCCAUCCAUCCAUUUUCUGAACCGCUUAGUCCCCACGGGGGUCACGGGAGUGCUGGAGCCUAUCCCAGCCGUCAUUGCGCAGUAGGCGGGGGGACACCCUGAACCGGUUGCCAGCCAAUCGCAGGGCACACAGAGACAAACAACCAUCUGCACUCGCACUCACACCUAGGGACAAUUUGGAGACUUCAAUCGGCCUACCAAGGAUGUUUUUGGGAUGUGGGAGGAAACCGGAGUGCCCGGAGAAAACCCACGCGGGCCCGAGGAGAACAUGCAAACUCCACACAGGGAGGGCCAGAGGUAGAAUCGAACCCGCACCCUUCUAGGGUGAGGCGGACGUGCUACCCAGUGCGCCACUGAGCCGCCUAGCUUAGUCAUGAAUACAGUAAUUAAAAAGAAAGUGUAUUCUUUUUUAUUUUCCACGUUUUUAUUUUGCUUUCUGUGACUUGCCUGUUUCCAAAAGGAGAUGAAACCCCACCCCCCAGACACAACACAGACAUCCGUCUGGAUUAGUCAUCGUGUGCAACUCUGUGGAUCUACAUUGCUUAAAGACUCAAUGAUCCCAUUAGGAAAUCGCAUCCACUCUGUGAUAUCAUCAUGCUAAAUUAUUACUUUUCAGGGUCAUUUUCAAUGAUUUUGUUGAUUUUAUUUUUUUAGGUAUACCCCUGCUCAACAACAUCUAAUAUUUACAUAAUAACCAUGUGUUGUUGGAGUUUGAUUAUAGUUUAAUUUUAGUUUAGUAUGGCUUAUUUUAUCUUAGUUUAGUUCGAAGAGUUGAUAACACAUUAAUCGUGAGUGUGUGUGUGUGUGCAUAUGUGCACGAGGAAGCAGACAGUCUUUCCUGCCAAACUGGCUCAUCAAAUGAGUCAUUGUGUUUUUUGUCCACAAAGUUUUAAUAAACACCAGGAUGCUUUGUUUUUAAAAAUA